UACCCGCUGAACUUAAGCAUAUCAAUAAGCGGAGGAAAAGAAACCAACAGGGAUUGCCCUAGUAACGGCGAGUGAAGCGGCAACAGCUCAAAUUUGAAAUCUGGCUCUUUUAGGGUCCGAGUUGUAAUUUGCAGAGGGCGCUUUGGCUUUGGCAGCGGUCCAAGUUCCUUGGAACAGGACGUCACAGAGGGUGAGAAUCCCGUACGUGGUCGCUAGCCAUUGCCGUGUAAAGCCCCUUCGACGAGUCGAGUUGUUUGGGAAUGCAGCUCUAAAUGGGAGGUAAAUUUCUUCUAAAGCUAAAUAUUGGCCAGAGACCGAUAGCGCACAAGUAGAGUGAUCGAAAGAUGAAAAGCACUUUGGAAAGAGAGUCAAACAGCACGUGAAAUUGUUGAAAGGGAAGCGCUUGCAGCCAGACUUGCUUGCAGUUGCUCAUCCGGGCUUUUGCCCGGUGCACUCUUCUGCAGGCAGGCCAGCAUCAGUUUGGGCGGUGGGAUAAAGGUCUCUGUCACGUACCUCCUUUCGGGGAGGCCUUAUAGGGGAGGCGACAUACCACCAGCCUGGACUGAGGUCCGCGCAUUCGCUAGGAUGCUGGCGUAAUGGCUGUAAGCGGCCCGUCUUGAAACACGGACCAAGGAGUCUAACAUCUAUGCGAGUGUUUGGGUGUCAAGCCCGAACGCGUAAUGAAAGUGAACGGAGGUGGGAACCCGCAAGGGUGCACCAUCGACCGAUCCUGAUGUCUUCGGAAGGAUUUGAGUAAGAGCAUGGCUGUUGGGACCCGAAAGAUGGUGAACUAUGCUUGAAUAGGGUGAAGCCAGAGGAAACUCUGGUGGAGGCUCGCAGCGGUUCUGACGUGCAAAUCGAUCGUCAAAUUUGGGCAUAGGGGCGAAAGACUAAUCGAACUAUCUAGUAGCUGGUUCCUGCCGAAGUUUCCCUCAGGAUAGCAGUAACGUAUUCAGUUUUAUGAGGUAAAGCGAAUGAUUAGAGGCCUGGGGGUUGAAACAACCUUCACCUAUUCUCAAACUUUAAAUAUGUAAGAAGUGCUUGUUGCUUAAUUGAACGUGCACAUUUGAAUGAAACGUUAUUAG
rnacentral:rRNA from 1 species